GAUGUCAAACCCCUCUUCAUCUUACCGUUUCUCAGAGUUUCGUUAAAUUGUUGCUGAAACACAAAGCUGACAUAUCGAGUACAGAUGAGGAAGAUUUGGCAAGAAUUAUUGAGACGAAAUGCGUCAACGGAAUCGGCACUAGCGUGUUUUGUGGUGAGCAUCGAUAUGAGCGGUCUUCUCCUCGAACGUGUGAAUUUCAAGGAGAAAAUACCGUCGAAUCUCUUGCCUCCGGAGCAGCAUACACCCGGAAUUAGUAAGCUUCUAAUAUGAUCAUUUCGUCACUGGCGAGAACGGAAGCCAGAAUCUCAGUCAUUCGUGAAUACAUUCGAAAUUAUUCCGGAAAUGUAGACGCAAGACCAGCGGUGUCUGUGUGGUGGAAAAAAACGACUCUAUAAGUUGCAUCCCAUCAAAGGCAUCGUGAAUUUUGCGUGAUGUUACUGCAUGCCAAACACAAAGCAGUGUAUUUACAAAUGCUGGAGUCUCAAGCGGGUCGUGGAUUACAUUUUCAGAAAAUCUGAAAACUCCUCACCGAUAGCAAAACUGUCUCGUCUUCUCAAUCUAGUCAAGAAGCAAAAAAG